CUCCCCCUGACCUUUGCUUAGAAGAGCAAUAACUCACCAGGUUAAUGAUCAAUCAGCGGAAGUGCUUUGGAAUUGUCUCCAAAAAAACAAAACAGAAACAACACCCGGACGGACACACAACUCCCGGCCGCCGCCGGCUCCUCCCGACCCCCGCAGCACCCCUCUCCGUGGGUCCCCCCACCGCCAAAACCCUCAGCGGGGGGGGUGAGGCGAAGGAGCCGGACAAACACUAACGAGGAAAGCGACCGCAGCAGCCAGCGCUCCCGAAGCCCCAGCGUCCAGCCAAACGGCAAAGCCGGAGGACACGGAGGGAUAAAAAACGGGGUGGUUUUGUUUGGUUUUGUUGUUUUUCUUUUUGGGGGGGGGGGGGGGGCGGGAAAAAAUUGAGAAGGGUUUCUCUGCCUCCCCGGCGCGGGGGGGUGCGCAGCGCCCGGAGGCCCUGGGGAUGGGCUCCUCGCCCCCCCCGGAGCCGCGCCCGGGCUGGCCCCGGCACCAAGGACGCGGCUCCUGUGCUUCCUACGCUCACGUCCAGGCUCCCGCUUCUUCCCAUUUUAACCCCCACCCUCCUCCUCCUCAAAAGGAAAAAGAGAGAGCGAGGGAGGGAGGGAGAAAAUGAGGACUCAGGGCUUUUCUCCCGCUGCCCUUCCUUCGCCUCCCGGGAGGACCCACGCUACCGCCGUGGCCGUUUCUGUGAGAAAAGGAAGGAAUUCGGUUACUUUUUUUUUCUUUGCAGUGAUACUCGCCUGAAUCCCGGACCCGGCUGGCGCUGGAGAACGAGCUGGGCAUGGGGGAGAAGGGACCUGGGAGAAGAAAUGAGUUCCAUUUUACCUGCUUCCAUCUGAUAACUCAUAACGACUACCAAUUUCUGAGGAGGAAGUCUCGGGAGAGGGAGAAAGAAGGGGUGUCAAGGAAUUCUAUUGCUCUGGUUUGGCAUGUUUACACCGAAUAUUUCUCGCCUGUAGGGAACCGUGCGGAUACCAGCGGGUCCUGCAGCCUCCCUGCACGGUGCAUCGCUGCAGACACCCCCAGGCACGGGCACACACCCGCGCAGCUGCCCCUCGCUAAACGCCCCCAUUCCUGUAAGGGUGCUCGGGCUCUCAGCCUCAUCACCACAUCAAAGGGCUCCCAUCCAUCCCGGGCUCUUAGUUAAUUUGUAAUUAGGCGGGAAACUUUGCGAACGGCAAUGAUUAACGCAGCAGAGGACACGUAAAUGAAAGCAGGGGUUUUAAAUAUUUUUUUUUUAGUUAUUAUUUUUAACAUGGAUGCGAGCAGGGCGGAGCUGGCGCUGGCCGAGCCGGGACGCACCUCGCUGCAACACGCGUGGUUUUGCCCGAGAUAUCCCAUCCCUGCGCCCACCAAACCCCUGGGCAGAGGGAGACAACCUGCCCUGGGGAAUAUCCCGAAGAAUAAACCCAACUCUUCUGUGCUCAUCCUCCCCAAAAAGCCUCAUCGCCCUGCUCCCGGAUUUAUCCGCUGCUGCGGUGCCACAAAGAGGUGCUGAGCUCUCAGACCUCCCCCCCCUCCACGCCCCGGAUCAGAUUCCCCACGCUGGGAAAAAAUAAAAGUCGGUUUUUAAGGAGGGUGGAAGCAACGAAAACGAGAAGGGUGGAAAAAUACCCCCCCACCUCAAAUCUCCUGUCCCAAAAGAGCAGAACUGGGAGCACUGUAUAGAUCUAUACGGUUAAAUUUCAGAAAGUGUCCAUUAAUAUCAAUUUACUUCAAUGAAAACUUUGGUUCUUCAUGAAGUUGAUGAUUUAUGAUAAAAUCAAUUAAAUUACGGCCACUUAGGGCCUGCGGUUUCUGCUCGGAUUUCAUUCGCCAACAGAUCAAGCGCUUGGUAAAAAAUUUCAAGUUUAGCUGGAGGCGAGUAAAGAUAAUUCUGAAGCUGAGGAAAUUUAAUGCAAAGCAAUUUUCAGGAAAAAAAAAAAAAAAAAGAAGAAAAAGAAACCAAACCCAGACGCUUGUGUAUCCGAGCUCCCGCUCCCUGCCAAUAUACCAGUUCGCCUCGGGAAAUAUUAGACACUGAGUCAAAACUUUCCAGUUUCACAAUGUAUGAGCACAUUUUUAGAACUGGCAACUUGUCCCGAGGACUGAGUUAUUAUCUCGGAAAGGAACCAAAGGAGAACAGAGAGCACAAAUAUAUAUAUUUUUAGGGGGAAAGAAAAACUUUCCAGGUUUAAUUCGAUUUCUCGGAGGGUUUUUUUUCCUCCUUACAAACGAUUUCCCUGUCUCGCUCUUAAAAUACGCAUCGGGCGUUCACGGGGAAGGAUGGAGGGGGGGAUUUUUUCGUUUGUUUUCAGCCAGCAAUAAAUAGCACGAAUCCACAGAAAAAAAGCACACCCGAUAUUCCCACGCGAAAUCUCGCCCUCGUGGCCGUUUCCCUUUCGAUCCCAGAAACUGCAUUUGAGCGAAAUGACCCAUUUUUUGAGAGGACAAACCCACCACCCACCCCCCCCCACCCCAAACAAACCUUGAACCUCUUUAAAAGCCCGAUAUUCUCAGGCUCGGACUCCCCCAGUAGCCACCGCUUUAAUGCCAAAUGUUGACGAGUCUCAGCCUUACCCAUUUCGGUCAAAUGCACUGGCCGGCUAAAAGGAAAAGCAGCUCAACUAACCAGAUGUUUGUCAGUCACAUCUGGCCACUAGACCCAGACCUGUGGAGGGAAAAGCCGCUAUGGACAUCCACAGAGCUUGGGAAAUCUUUUUUUUUUUUCUUUUCUUUCUUUCUUUUUCUUUUUUUUUUUAGAAGCCCUUGUAAUUAGGGUCUGCUUCAAGUAAACAAAAAACUUUGUAGGGCCAUAAAUCACCAUCACAUACAUUCUUCAGUUUAACACCCCGCUUUUCCAAUGGGCUUUUGUAGUUUCUUUUUCAAACAAGAGAGAGGUGCUAAACCUUUAACAAAUGUGUCCCGGACAAACUUCGCGGGGAAACACGCACUUGGAAAGAAGCGAUUUGCGGCCGGUCUCGGUUAUGGACCCUGCGAGAUAAUAUUUGCUCCUCUUCAGCUUCCCCGCUCCCGCUCCCGAGGCAUCACUCUUAAUUUGUUACCAGCAGAAAGGCAGCUAUAGCUCACGGUGGCCGGUGGAGAAGCCUGUCAAAGCUUUCGGAGCAAUUAAUUAUAUCUCACAGCGUCGGAGCUGAGAAGGACUUGGACGAGAAGGAGUGAAGCCGGAUCGGGGUGGUGUGAGUUCGCAACAGGAGCAGGCAAAUUAAGGAGAAGAAACUACUUUAUUGCACCCUGGAGGAUCUCGCUGACCGCUUUCUCGGACGCUUUGGAUUAUUCCCUCCCCCCCCCCCAAAGUUACUUUGAUUUUUUGGGGGACUCGCUCAAUUCAAAAGGAACUGCCUUGACGUGGAGAAAAAUAGAAACUCUUCCAAAACAGCUUAAAGUAUUGCAAGGAUGAGGCCCCCUUUGCGGAGCAAUGCCGAGCGGAGGGGGAUGCGAUGGGGGUGCCGGGGGGGGGGGCGUGCGCGCUCGUUCCCCCUUUAAAAAAAAAAAGUGCCCUAAAAAACCUCCCCCACUGCCGACUCCUUGGUAUCUCUCCGGAAAAGCUGUUUCUCUUUAUAAAGACUUAAAAUGUUGCAAGACGGUUAUAAUAGUGAGUGACAAGGGGUGCUGGAGAGAAGGGAACCAAAUGGAUUCUGGUUUUUAGAGCCAGUAGGAAUUGGCCAGCCUUCAAUGUCAGGAUUCAAAAUUGAUUCCAUAUGUUUCGACCGGGGAAAGGGGAAAAAACGAAGGAAAGAAAGAGAGAAGGAAAGAGAGAUGAAGAAAUGGGGGGGAAUAAAAGUUAUGCAAACCCCUCCGGGUUUCUUCCUUCACCCCCUCCCCCCCCGCCCUUCCCAGUCGCCCCGGGUAAAUACCCUGUCAUCAAAUCUUGCCCUUUUCCAGGGAAUAUUUUGGACUCUCGCGUUGGAAGCACAGAGAGGGAGAGGCACCAGUAGCAACAAACCAGAUCCUGGAGGUUAUUUUUAGACUCGGCUUUGCUGGAGCUGACCUCAACGCGGGGAGAGAAAAUACGGGUCUGGAUGCUGGUGAAAGGGCGAAGCGUGCCAUGGCGCGGCGUCGGCUCCCAAAAAACGGGAAGGGGGGGGGGACACACACGACACACCCUCCCCGCCAAAAAAAACCCUCCCGACCCAGGCGGAGCUGGGCCGAGGCGAGCGGCGGGAGCGGCGGGGCCGGAGGCAGGUGAUGGGGCGCAGCGGGGGUACCGGCGCCCCCGGGGCCGCGGGAGAGGGGCUGGGGGGGGGCGGAGGUCCCUCUCCCCGUCCCCCCUCCAGCCCCAGAAGCUGCGGACUGCCGUUCCCUCGUGAUUUCACUGGGACAUGCUUGGAGAGAAUUUGACCCGAAGUUUUUCAGGCUUCUCUCCUGACCCCUAGAUACCGCUGCCAAUAAAGCACUGAUAUAUUUCGCAUUGAGUCGGACAUCAAAAGGAGACGAAAUAGCAGCGAGUGGGGAUUUCUCCUUAACCCCUCCCCUAUAGCUGCGCUUAAAAAAUAAAUAAAUAAAUAAAGGAGCCAAAUCUCCACCAUCGCCUCUGAUUUAUAGCUUUCCUUUUCAGCUGGGAUAGUUACACGCAGGGAAAUGUUGAAAUGUGGUUAUUGCCUUUUAUUUCUUUCGUCUCCCCCCUCCUCUCCUCUCCCUCCUCCCCACCAAAAAAAAAGGAAAAAAAAAAGGAGAAAACUUAAAAGAAAACUGUCACCCUUCCCAAACGUUUGCCUAUUUAACUGACAAGCGACCGAGCCCUUCCCUUUUGUCCCCUCUGCCUGUGACUCGCGUUCGCCUCUCUUUUUAAAUAAGAAAAUGAAGCAGCAGCAUCGGCCCGGGCUCGGGGCCCUCCCCUGCGGCUCGGGGGGGGCGCAGCCGGCGGCUUUGGGGUGCUGCCGGGGACCGGCCCGGGCCAACACUGCCUGAAACCCCUUUUCCAGGGGAAAACCAAACCAAACCGACAGAAAAAAAAAAGAAGGGAAAAAAAAAAAGCUGCUGCCACGUCCUGCCCGCCCCGCCGCCGCGUCCGCUCCGCGCCUCUCCGCGCCUAAGCCACAGGUUUCGGCGUUAUCCUCCUUUAUUGCUCGGCUCGGCUCCCCGGCCUCCACGCCUUGCAGCUCUCGCCCUCCGCCAUGCUUUGAUCUUAAAUAACUCUCUCCUACCGCCUGCAAUAAAUUAUGAAUUAAGGU